rnacentral:tRNA from 1 species
UGGCUCAGUGGUAGAGCGCUUGCCUUGCGUGCAUGAGGCCCUGGGUUUGAUUCCCCAG